rnacentral:rRNA from 1 species
GACGAACGCUGGCGGCGUGCUUAACACAUGCAAGUCGAACGGAAAGGCCCUGCUUUUGUGGGGUGCUCGAGUGGCGAACGGGUGAGUAACACGUGAGUAACCUGCCCUUGACUUUGGGAUAACUUCAGGAAACUGGGGCUAAUACCGGAUAGGAGCUCCUGCUGCAUGGUGGGGGUUGGAAAGUUUCGGUGGUUGGGGAUGGACUCGCGGCUUAUCAGCUUGUUGGUGGGGCAGUGGCUUACCAAGGCUUUGACGGGUAGCCGGCCUGAGAGGGUGACCGGCCACAUUGGGACUGAGAUACGGCCCAGACUCCUACGGGAGGCAGCAGUGGGGAAUAUUGCACAAUGGGCGGAAGCCUGAUGCAGCAACGCCGCGUGCGGGAUGACGGCCUUCGGGUUGUAAACCGCUUUCGCCUGUGACGAAGCGUGAGUGACGGUAAUGGGUAAAGAAGCACCGGCUAACUACGUG